UGUAGUUCAGGUUCUGUGCGAAGUUCUGUUUCCCGAACUUCUUUAGGUUUUGGCUAGAAAACAACUAUGUCUCGUGAUGUUACGUUAUUAUUUUAUAGCGUGGUAAUUAUGUAGUUCACAACUGUUCCACGAGAGCGUUUUUGAGUUGGUGGAUUGUGGAUUUGAGGCAAAGGUAAAAGUUCCGUUCACUGCAUUGUUUUUUGUUGCUGUUUUUGCUGCAGAUUGACAGACCAAAUCCAUCUCUGGAUAUCCUGUUGUCAAGUCUUUUGCUUUGGACUCUAGUGUUUGUGGUGUGAAUGAUGCUGUGAAUGUGGCCCUGUAAAGCAUGCCCCUCAGUUCUACCAAGAUGACAUUGAUACUACCACGGAGAAUCUCAUAAGAGGACUCUGCAUUUUCCUCAUCGAGGACCCUGAUGACCUUAUGCAGGAGUACAUGGACAUGACUAAGUCUACUACACUGCAGUGCCAUAGAAGCAACAACUGUUGGAAUCUACAUAUCUAGAGGAACUCCCAACAGUGACAAUAAGUGCAAUGUGUGCAUCAAACUCCAUUUAUAAUAUAAUGCUGUUCUACAAUGGAUGUAAAAUGUGCCAUUUUGACAG